rnacentral:rRNA from 1 species
UACGUAGGGUGCGAGCGUUAAUCGGAAUUACUGGGCGUAAAGCGUGCGCAGGCGGUUCUCCAAGUCCGUUGUGAAAGCCCCGGGCUCAACCUGGGAAUGGCAGUGGAAACUAGGGGACUUGAAUCUGGAAGAGGCGAGUGGAAUUCCCGGUGUAGCGGUGAAAUGCGCAGAUAUCGGGAGGAACACCAAUGGCGAAGGCAGCUCGCUGGGACGGUACUGACGCUGAGACGCGAAAGCGUGGGGAGCAAACAGG